rnacentral:tRNA from 1 species
GGAGGGGUAGCUCAGUGGUUAGAGUAUUGGCCUGCUAAACCCAGAGUUGUGAGUUC